AACUCUGAGCGGUGGAUCACUCGGCUUCGUGUGCGUCGUCGAUGAAGAGCGCAGCCAAACUGCGCUGAAUUAGUUGUGAAUUGCAGGGAUAUCUUGAACAUCGACAUCUUGAACGCAUAUUGCCGGCCCAUCAGGUCUGUCCCUGUGGCCUGGCCGAGGGUCG
rnacentral:rRNA from 1 species